rnacentral:lncRNA from 1 species
GCUGACUGUCCUUCAGCAAGAGAGACAUUCAAUUGAAUUGUCAUCUUGAUUUUUCACUCUAGAUCAUAAGACAAAUAAGUGAAUGAGAGUGCCUGCUCUGAUACCACUUGUUGCCCAGAGAUAUAACCCAAGAGAGAAGGUGAAUUGGGUUUUAAAAUUUUCUUACAAGUUAAAAACUCCUAUGUCCGCUACUUAUACUAAAAAUUAAAUACAGUGAAAGCAGUAAAUAUAUCGAUAAACAAUUUAAAUUAUGAUGC